rnacentral:tRNA from 1 species
UCUCUGGUAGUCUAGUGGUUGGGAUUUGGUGUUCUCACCACUGCAGCCUGGGUUCGAUUCCUGGUCAGGGAA